AUGCUUGCUUUGGCAGCACAUAUUCUAAAAUUGGAAAAAUACAGAGAAGAUUAGCAUGGCCCCUGUGCAAGGAUGACACACAAAUUCAUGAAGCAUUCCGUAUUUUU
rnacentral:snRNA from 14 species